rnacentral:rRNA from 1 species
GUGGUGCCAUCGCGCACUGCGCACAUGUAUAAACCCCACAGGCGUAGACAACUCGAACAAUGUCUUAGGGAUUACGGGUUCGGCAUGGCGUAAGCCUUCGUCGGGCCCCUCCAUCCCGGGGUGUCCCGCAUCGGGCUGUGUUCGCUCCUCACGGAGUGUUCGCUUCCCGAGUGGGCAUCCCUCGAGUGCGUAGGAUGCGACCCGAAAGAUGGUGAACUAUGCCUGAUCAGGCCGAAGUCAGGGGAAACCCUGAUGGAGGGCCGAAGCAAUUCUGACGUGCAAAUCGAUUGUCAGAGUUGGGCAUAGGGGCGAAAGACCAAUC